UAAGGAAUAUUGCGCAAUGGGCGAAAGCCUGACGCAGCGACGCCGCGUGGGGGAUGAAGGUCUUCGGAUUGUAAACCCCUUUCGGGAGGGAAGAUGGGAUGGGGUAACCCAUUCGGACGGUACCUCCAGAAGCAGCCACGGCUAACUUCGUGCCAGCAGCCGCGGUAAUACGAAGGUGGCAAGCGUUGUUCGGAUUUACUGGGCGUACAGGGAGCGUAGGCGGUUGGAUAAGCCCUCCGUGAAAUCUCCAGGCUUAACCUGGAAAGUGCAGAGGGGACUGUUCAGCUAGAGGAUGGGAGAGGAGCGCGGAAUUCCCGGUGUAGCGGUGAAAUGCGUAGAGAUCGGGAGGAAGGCCGGUGGCGAAGGCGGCGCUCUGGAACAUUUCUGACGCUGAGGCUCGAAAGCGUGGGGAGCAAACA
rnacentral:rRNA from 2 species